CUGCUGAUGACUGUAGCCCAGGCAGAACAAAGCUGAUAAUGUACAAGGGCCACAAAUUAGAAAAGAAAACAUGUUUGAGAGAUUGAAACAUGGGUUAUGAAAAUGCUGGAGGCGAGCUCAUUUAUAAAACCCACCCCUAUAUAUCUUAAUACAACUUUACAUAUGCAUGGAAUACUUCAUGCCGGAACGAGGACAACCAAUUAAGAGGAGGCGUCCCCGACAACUGCAGGUUACAUUGCCCAGGGACCAGACAAUUUCUGCGUUCUGACACUAAUGAUUAAAAAUGUCAAGAGUCAAUUAUGACUUGUGUUUUCUUAUUUGGCUUCCUUAAAUGGCUUUCCUCUCUGUGGAAUGUUAUUUAGCCUCAUAGCCUUGAGCCUCGUGUAAAUUAGCGUUGGACAUUACAGGGAAGUGGCUUAGACAUGAAAUCAGCUGAUGUAAAGAUAUAAAGGGCAUACAAAACCCAAAGAAGGGGAAGGUGUAACAUUUAGAACGGACAAAUAUUUUCCAUAUUAACUGGACAAAACUUAUUGAUGUAAUCAAUGUCUUGCUAGAAUGUACGUUUGACUUAAGUACAUUUUAAAGCCCUCUGUCUGGGACAGGCCAUCAUAGGCCAGGUAUUGACGUCUGCACACCUGGCUAGGUAAGCUAGAUAAAAUAAAGACUGACCCGCAGCCCAAGGAGUGAAAGUCCCAGCUUUCAUCAUGGCAGAGAUCGAGUUACUGCCAGAGAGUGAAGGGCCUGAGCGGCCAUUGAUGACUGUUAAUGGCAUACUUUGUGAGCGUGUUGUAAUAGUUCUGGCUCAGGAGUGAAUUGGCCACAUCAAACCCCACAGUCUCUGACCUCCCAGCAGGAUAGCCAGGCGUCAGGGAAAUUUACAGCAGACAUGAUUAGCUCAUAUUUAAAUGGUGCUUAAAAGCUGGCUUCCUGAGAAUUUCGCAGCUUAAUUUAGCCAGAAGUGUUUCGGUAUAUAAAGGACUCAUCUCCAUAAGUAUGUUAGCAGUGAGCCUGUAAAAAUAAUCUCGACUAGGGAAUCGUUUUUCUUGGCAGGACGAAGGCAGCAAGGACACGCGGACUUCAGCAGAAUGCGCUGAUUGUUCACCAACUAGUGAUUGUGCAACACUAACUCCAUCCUGUCAUAGCAUUCCAGCUGGAUUAUGAAUUCUGUCCACAGGGGCCUGAUCGGUUCCAGCAGAAAGCCCUUAUUUGGAAGGAAUCCUCGCUAUGGAUUGUCAGGCUCAGGAUACGAUGCUGAUACACUUGCGUGCAAGAGAUUUCCAGGUUUCCUGUUGCACUUUUCGUCAUCUGGAAAGGUGAAGAGAGAGAAAAGCGGGAGGAUGGCAUAACACAGGCUCUGGAUGGGACUACAUCCUGUCUCGUGUCACACCCACAGUGCCGCUGUCCCAACUAGCAGGACUGAUGCAACUCCAGUUGUUUGCCUGUGAUCUGGCAGACACUUCCCCUGCUCGUAAGAACACCCAUCAGCAACUUAAUUAGCUGUGAAGACUCUUCACUUGAAACCUGAAAUCAUUCAUUCAGCGCUUUGUCAAGAGGCGGCAGGCUUGGGCGUGUUGAUGAGAACUUCUAGAUUGUUUCCCGAGCAGCAGAAAGGAGAUGGACGAACAGUGUGGGGUGGAGGUAGCCCAGGCUGGAGAAGGAAUUCCCCUCAUACCUCUAUGGAAAGAGCGUGGCUUUGGUGUGUAGAGACAGGCAUCAGACGACACCAGCUGAGAUUCAUAAAGACCCGCAGGGCUUGUAUUAUUUUUGCAUGCACAGGUCAUCAAUAAUGGCUCGAUGUGUGUUUGCAUAGGGACAGCCAUGACUUUUGCAUGUUUUUGCCCAUUUGUCAAAGGCUCACAUGGGAUAAGCCUCUCUUUCAGUAUGGAGGCAGCAGAGGCCCCUGUUCAUUACUUCUCUCAACAGGUUGGACAUCUUGGAGCGCGACUUUCAUUUCCUUCUCACUAUGGGUGUAUUCAGUGGUAAUGAGACCCCAGAGAAUGGCAUGUUUAAAGGCAUCUGAGCAAUAAAAUGAUGAUGAUGAUUAUUAUUA
ensembl:lncRNA